AUGUAUGCUUCGAAGUUCCGCUUACGCUGCGAUUGUGAGGAUCGACUACGUCCGUUUGUCUUCUACAUGGACUCAUUCUUCUUCCUUGCGGGAUCUCAGGCAAGAUGGCCAUUACACUCGAUAUCACUUCUAUCUUUGCUUGCUAGUUGUUUGUUCUAUCGCUAUGUCACUCUACCUACCACCUGUUUAUCAUGCCUCCCAUAUUGCCAUGUCAAGCCUCUUACCCACCUUCCUAGCAAACAGUUGAUUGGUUAUGUUACCGCUUUACUCAGCCCUCUUAUAGCAUGGUUAGUUGCAAGUGAAGUUGAAGAUUGCUUCAUGUUGGAACAUGUUUAUGUUGGGAUAUCACAAUAUCUCUUAUUUUGA
rnacentral:rRNA from 1 species